UACACUCCUGCGGGAGGCAGCAGUGGGGAAUAUUGGACAAUGGGCGCAAGCCUGAUCCAGCCAUGCCGCGUGAGUGAUGAAGGCCCUAGGGUUGUAAAGCUCUUUCACCGGUGAAGAUAAUGACGGUAACCGGAGAAGAAGCCCCGGCUAACUUCGUGCCAGCAGCCGCGGUAAUACGAAGGGGGCUAGCGUUGUUCGGAUUUACUGGGCGUAAAGCGCACGUAGGCGGACUAUUAAGUCAGGGGUGAAAUCCCGGGGCUCAACCCCGGAACUGCCUUUGAUACUGGUAGUCUUGAGUUCGAGAGAGGUGAGUGGAAUUCCGAGUGUAGAGGUGAAAUUCGUAGAUAUUCGGAGGAACACCAGUGGCGAAGGCGGCUCACUGGCUCGAUACUGACGCUGAGGUGCGAAAGCGUGGGGAGCAAACAGGAUUAGAUACCCCUGUAGUCCCAU
rnacentral:rRNA from 1 species